CGGGCGGUAGCUUAACUGGUAGAGUCUUGGUCUCCAAAACCAAUUGUGAGGGUUCGAUUCCCUCUUGCCCGG
rnacentral:tRNA from 1 species